GGCUUCGUCGCGGAACGCGGCGCGGUGCCCCGCGACGGCGCGGCAGCGGUCACCGGGCUGCUGCGCCUGUCCGAGCCAGGCGGUGCCU
rnacentral:tRNA from 1 species